AGUGAACGCUGGCGGUAGGCCUAACACAUGUAAGUCGAACGGCAGCACAGUAAGAGCUUGCUCUUACGGGUGGCGAGUGGCGGACGGGUGAGGAAUACAUCGGAAUCUACUUUUUCGUGGGGGAUAACGUAGGGAAACUCACGCUAAUACCGCAUACGACCUACGGGUGAAAGCAGGGGAUCUUCGGACCUUGCGCGAUUGAAUGAGCCGAUGUCGGAUUAGCUAGUUGGCGGGGUAAAGGCCCACCAAGGCGACGAUCCGUAGCUGGUCUGAGAGGAUGAUCAGCCACACUGGAACUGAGACACGGUCCAGACUCCUACGGGAGGCAGCAGUGGGGAAUAUUGGACAAUGGGCGCAAGCCUGAUCCAGCCAUACCGCGUGGGUGAAGAAGGCCUUCGGGUUGUAAAGCCCUUUUGUUGGGAAAGAAAAGCAGCAGGUUAAUACCCCGCUGUUCUGACGGUACCCAAAGAAUAAGCACCGGCUAACUUCGUG
rnacentral:rRNA from 1 species